CAAGUAAUUCAGGUAGUCGCUAAAGCGCCCAAAACAGCGCUUUAGAGGAAAGUCCGAACACCCCCGUCUGCAAAGCCGGGAAAAAGGGUUGCUGGGAAAUCCAGCCGGGUAUAAGGCAGGUUUGAAAAGUUCACGUGACUUUUCAAGAAUGUCAAAGCCCAGGGAUAGUGCAACAGAAACAUGUCGCCGAUGGCUCCGCAAGGAGAUCAGGCAAGAGUGAAAUCGUGCGGUAAGAGCGCACGCGUGCCCGCAGAGAUGCGGCGCGGUGAAAACCCAACCUGGUGCAAGGUCAAAUAGGCCCUUUAAGGGCGGGUUGACCGCUUAGACAGAUGAUUACCCUCGACAGAAUUCGGCUUACAGAAUUGCUUGAGGC
rnacentral:RNase_P_RNA from 1 species